GGGCCUAUAGCUCAGUUGGUAAGAGCGCACGCCUGAUAAGCGUGAGGUCGGUGGUUCAAAUCCACUUAGGCCCA
rnacentral:tRNA from 1 species